UUUUAUAAAAGGCUCUUCAGUAAUUUAUGUCAGUAUGUAGUAUACAGUAUUCUUAUAUAAACAAUGAUCAGACAAUAUAAAGGUUUGAAUUUGUCACUCAGACAUUUAAAGAAUGUGUAAAUGCUUCUUAUUCCUGAGUACAUUGUUUUCUGAUGAUUUUACAGUUUUGAAGGCAGAUAAUGCAGUUAUUAGAAUAAAGUAGGCUACAAUAUGAUAUCAAUACAUUUACAUGAUAAAAGGAAAAA